UGAACGCUGGCGGCGUGCCUAAUACAUGCACGUCGAGCGAACAGACGCGGAGCUUGCUCCUCUGGCGUUAGCGGCGGACGGGUGAGUAACACGUGGAUAACCUACCUAUAAGACUGGGAUAACUUCGGGAAACCGGAGCUAAUACCGGAUAAUAUAUUUAACCGCAUGGUUCAAUAGUGAAAGACGGUUUUGCUGUCACUUAUAGAUGGAUCCGCGCCGCAUUAGCUAGUUGGUAAGGUAACGGCUUACCAAGGCAACGAUGCGUAGCCGACCUGAGAGGGUGAUCGGCCACACUGGAACUGAGACACGGUCCAGACUCCUACGGGAGGCAGCAGUAGGGAAUCUUCCGCAAUGGGCGAAAGCCUGACGGAGCAACGCCGCGUGAGUGAUGAAGGUCUUCGGAUCGUAAAACUCUGUUAUUAGGGAAGAACAAAUGUGUAAGUAACUAUGCACGUCUUGACGGUACCUAAUCAGAAAGCCACGGCUAACUACGUG
rnacentral:rRNA from 1 species